CCGGCCUCUAUUUCUGCCCCGGCGACUUCGCUGGUCUUCGUGAUUCGGGGAUUUCUUCACUCUAAUUCUCAGUGGGUUUCCACUGUAAUUCCACUUAUUAGCUAUAAUUCCAAUUGGAUUUACAGUGCAAAUCAAGUUGCACUGAUAUCGUCAGUGGGUUUAGUGUAAUUGACGGUAAUUCUUAUUUUUGGAUUUUUAGUUUUUGUGGUUUUUAUGGAGUAUUCCUUACUGGAAUUUACACUGUAAUUUGUAGUGUUUUGUUUCAUCUUUUAUAACUUACGGUCUAUAUUAAUCUGAAUACCUGUGUAGUUACCGUCUAAGUUAAUGUACAUUAACCCUGUAACUUACUAUCCCAUUUACAGUCUAUUUUUCAGUGUACACUGUAAAGUCAUUUGGAUUCUAUGUAAUUACACCGUAAUGUUAGUACACUUGCACUCUAUUUCCCUGUGUAAUUUUGUUGAAUUUUAUUUGUAAUUGUAAUGAUUUACAUUUGUAAUUACAGUAAGUUAAUGUAGAUUUUUAACCCUGCAAUUGUAAUGAUUUACAAUUGUAAUGACUUACAUCUGUAAUUACAGUCUGUAAUUACUAUCCUAUUAGUGUAAUUUCCAAUCUAUUUUCAGUAUUUACACUGCAAAUUCAUUUGGAUUGUAUGUAAUUACACUGCAAUUGUAGUGCACUUGUACUCUAUUUCCCUGUGCAAUUUCAGUGAAUUACAUUUGUAAUUGUAGUGACUUAUAUUUGUAAUUGCAGUUUAAGUUAACUGUAAAUUUUAACCCUAUAACUUACUAUAUCCUAUGUAUUGUAAUUUCCAGUCUUUUUUCAGUGUAUUUACAAGGAAGGUCAGAGUAAUUUACAGCCAAGUUGUAAUGUGACAAAAUAUCACAGUAAUCUCUCAAGAUAUGUUGAUUUUUGUAUUUUUUGAGUUUACUGGGGUCUAAUAGCAAGAGAAUUAAGUCGGUCAUUUUGGCUUCAUCUUACAUGGAGUGCAUCUUCAUCUUGUUGAUUCUGGGAAGUAGGAGAGGGAACUGUUCACAGGGAGGUAGAGAAGAUUGCCAGGAGAGGAUCUCUUACAUGUGCAUCCAUGAUUUUCUCCAGGUUUGCCCUCUGGAUCUUGGAGGAAUUCCCCCUGUGAUUUCUUCUUUGAUGGGGUGGACAAGCACAUCGACACAUUCAGGGGACAGGAGCAAAACGGAGGGCAUGUGACACUUGUUGAACUCUGUGUUGCCAAAAAAUAUGACUAAAAGGAUUUCAAUCGAAUGCAAAACAGACAGUCCCCGAAACACAUAUCAUCUUGGAUUUAUUGGUGGAUUUACAGUGUCUUUUUAGUGGAUUUUACAGUAGUUUCUUUAAUGUUCCUUACAGUGUAAUUCUUAGUGUUUUAUCUUAUCAGUUUUUCAGUGCAAAAGUGUAAUUCUAGUGGAUUUUACACUGUAAUUGUUAGUGUUUAAUCUUAGCAAUUUUUUAGUGGAGUUACAAUGUAAUUUUAGUGGAUUUUUGCAGUGUCACUUUAAUGCAUCUUUCAUUAUAAUUCUCAGUGGGCAUGAUAGAAAUUAAUGUG
rnacentral:rRNA from 1 species